rnacentral:snRNA from 1 species
AUGGUGAGACAUAGAGGUGUCUU